GGGUCGUUAGCUCAGUCGGUAGAGCAGUUGGCUUUUAACCAAUUGGUCGUAGGUUCGAAUCCUACACGACCC
rnacentral:tRNA from 1 species